AUCCUACGUUGGGAUGCCACGUUUGGGAAAUAUCGUUUGAGAGUCACCUACCCAGAAAUCCGAACUGUUUGGUGGAAACAAUGACCGUAGAGGGUGAGAGUCCCGUAGGACUGACAUAAAAAAGGUAGGACUCGAUAUUGGUAUUUUCUCUCGAGUCAGGUUAUUUGAGAAUAUAGCCUAAAGAGGUGGUAAACUCCAUCUAAAGCUAAAUAUUACUGCGAGACCGAUAGUUAACAAGUACCGUGAGGGAAAGUUGAAAAGUACUCUGAAGAGAGAGUUCAAAGAAUGUGAAACUGCUACGGGCGUAAAGCGGAUACUUGUAGCGCUGUCGAAAUGGUAGACACACUACGUUUUGUACUAAUUUCGUAGUUGUCGCGUAUCGAAGGGAACGAGCGCGUUUGUUUCGUCUUCGGGCGUGUAAACGUUGUCUCGUUUCGUAUAAAACCGACUUCUAAUCGAAACGUACGAACGUACGUAAAUCUUUCCAUAUUAGACGAUCGUACGAAUUGUUGUUAUUAUUUGUCUGAGGCUCGAGUGUCGUCGUUGAAAGGGAAGCUCGAUAUUCGUUGGUUUCGAAAGUUCGCUUUCUUCUCCUCGAAAUCGAGUAGACGCAUUCUUGAAUUUACUGACGGAAUCGACGAUUCGCUAUAUAUAUAUCGAUUCUUCGAUAUAAAACGAUUUCACGCGCAAAGAAACUAUCCGUCCCGUCUUGAAACACGGACCAAGAAGUCUAACGAAUACGCGAGUCGAAAGGUCUUAUUAAACCUGUAGGCGUAAUGAAA
rnacentral:rRNA from 1 species